rnacentral:antisense_RNA from 1 species
UCUCCCUUCCUUCCUUCUUAAUAUGUUUUUGGCCUUUUCUUUAUAUAUGUGGCCUAGCAAUAUCCUGUGUUUGGAAAAGUAUAAACCUAAGGCAUCACCUUUACAGAAAAUAUCUUCCACGGAAACAUCUAAAGGCAAAAAUCCUUCAAAUUCAAAUUUAUCCAAUCAUUUCUUCUGCUUACUACCAUCCUAAAUCAUUUUUCUUUAGUAAGAUCUAUUAGUGGGAAGCUAUUAAGCUAUUAAUGUAUCAUAUUAAUUGUAUUCAGAUAUUAAGUGAGGAGGUAAAGUUGCAUUCACAGGCCUUGAACUUUUCCACAUCUCGAUUUUUACCCAUCAUCUCUGAAUAGUUCCCUAAGGCAGCCUUCAAAUGGUGAUGUUUCUUAUAAUCCAGAGUUCAGAAGUGGCUUCUCUUCAAUCUUUCUGUGGAAUUCUAAACCAUGUGAUAAAGGAGCUGGUGGUGAGAAAUAAGGGAAGGCAGAGAUGAAAAGGAAUGGGCAGAAGCUUUUGGAGAGGAAUAACCACUGAGAUUGCCAUGAAAGAUUCAUUCUGACAUUCUUUUCAUGUAUUUAAUGCAAUCAAAAAAGAAUCCACAGCUAACCACGGGUGUCCAAUCUUUUGCCUUCCCUGGACCAACUGGAAGAAUUGUCUUCGACCACACAUAAAAUACACUAACACUAACAAUAGCUGAUGAGCUUUAAAAAAAAAUCACAAAA